GAGGGCGUGGGGGAGUUUGGCCGCCCCCGCCGCACUUGGAAUACUGGGAUCGCAGGUUCAAAUCCUGCCGCCCCG
rnacentral:tRNA from 1 species